rnacentral:misc_RNA from 1 species
UCCGAGUUGACCCCGGCAGUCUCUUAUGAGUCCCCGGCAUGACCCGCUGGCAACAUAAGACGAGGGUUGCGCUCGUUGCGGGACUUAACCCAACAUCUCACGACACGAGCUGACGACAACCAUGCACCACCUGCGCAGGACCCUUGCGGACCUUCCAUCUCUGAAAGUUUUCCCUGCAUGUCAAGCCUUGGUAAGGUUCUUCGCGUUGCAUCGAAUUAAUCCGCAUGCUCCGCCGCUUGUGCGGGGCCCCGUCAAUUCCUUUGAGUUUUAGCCUUGCGGCCGUACUCCCCAGGCGGGGCGCUUAAUGCGUUAGCUGCGGCACGGAGACCGUGGAAUGGCCCCCACACCUAGCGCCCAACGUUUACGGCGUGGACUAC